UCAGAUGUGGUGUAAUGGAAACACGGCCUAUCAUAAUAGCUCAAGAAAGAGCUAGAGGCAGUCCAGGGUUCGAGCCCCUGCAUCUGAA